rnacentral:rRNA from 1 species
UACAGAGGUCUCAAGCGUUGUUCGGAUUCAUUGGGCGUAAAGGGUGCGUAGGCGGCGCGGUAAGUCGGGUGUGAAAUCUCGGGGCUUAACUCCGAAACUGCAUUCGAUACUACCGUGCUUGAGGACUGGAGAGGAGACUGGAAUUUACGGUGUAGCGGUGAAAUGCGUAGAUAUCGUAAGGAAGACCAGUGGCGAAGGCGGGUCUCUGGGCUGACACUGACGCUCAUGCACGAAAGCGUGGGGAGCAAACAGG